GAGUUUGAUCCUGGCUCAGAUUGAACGCUGGCGGCAUGCUUUACACAUGCAAGUCGAACGGCAGCGCGGGGCAACCUGGCGGCGAGUGGCGAACGGGUGAGUAAUAUAUCGGAACGUACCCAAGAGUGGGGGAUAACGUAGCGAAAGUUACGCUAAUACCGCAUACGAUCCAAGGAUGAAAGCAGGGGACCGCAAGGCCUUGUGCUCCUGGAGCGGCCGAUAUCUGAUUAGCUAGUUGGUAGGGUAAAGGCCUACCAAGGCUACGAUCAGUAGCCGGUCUGAGAGGACGACCAGCCACACUGGAACUGAGACACGGUCCAGACUCCUACGGGAGGCAGCAGUGGGGAAUUUUGGACAAUGGGCGCAAGCCUGAUCCAGCAAUGCCGCGUGAGUGAAGAAGGCCUUCGGGUUGUAAAGCUCUUUUGUCAGGGAAGAAACGGUGGGAGCUAAUAUCUCUCACUAAUGACGGUACCUGAAGAAUAAGCACCGGCUAACUACGUGCCAGCAGCCGCGGUAAUACGUAGGGUGCAAGCGUUAAUCGGAAUUACUGGGCGUAAAGCGUGCGCAGGCGGUUUUGUAAGUCUGAUGUGAAAUCCCCGGGCUCAACCUGGGAAUUGCAUUGGAGACUGCAAGGCUAGAAUCUGGCAGAGGGGGGUAGAAUUCCACGUGUAGCAGUGAAAUGCGUAGAGAUGUGGAGGAACACCGAUGGCGAAGGCAGCCCCCUGGGUCAAGAUUGACGCUCAUGCACGAAAGCGUGGGAGCAAAC
rnacentral:rRNA from 1 species